GUAGGGAAUCUUCCACAAUGGACGAAAGUCUGAUGGAGCAACGCCGCGUGAGUGAAGAAGGGUUUCGGCUCGUAAAGCUCUGUUGGUAGUGAAGAAAGAUAGAGGUAGUAACUGGCCUUUAUUUGACGGUAAUUACUUAGAAAGUCACGGCUAACUACGUGCCAGCAGCCGCGGUAAUACGUAGGUGGCAAGCGUUGUCCGGAUUUAUUGGGCGUAAAGCGAGUGCAGGCGGUUCAAUAAGUCUGAUGUGAAAGCCUUCGGCUCAACCGGAGAAUUGCAUCAGAAACUGUUGAACUUGAGUGCAGAAGAGGAGAGUGGAACUCCAUGUGUAGCGGUGGAAUGCGUAGAUAUAUGGAAGAACACCAGUGGCGAAGGCGGCUCUCUGGUCUGCAACUGACGCUGAGGCUCGAAAGCAUGGGUAGCGAACAGG
rnacentral:rRNA from 2 species